CUAUUGUUUCUAAACAUCACUUCUCGUUAUUUGAAUGUUUCUUAAUUACAAACAUAGCCCUGCGCCCUUGUCCUGGUGCCCUGUCUGAAUUUUCCAUCCGCCACCCAAUCGUAUCUCAAAACCUAAACACCUAAUUACCUUCAAAACAAUCUACUUCCCAACGGCGCGGAGGAUUACGGCGAACAUCGGCAGCGGCGUGGCAGCAAAAGCGACAAGCAUCUAUUGACAGCGAAGACUACGACGAACAAUCUGUUGCGAGUUAGCAGCGCCUUGAUUUGGCCGCUUGAAGCCGAGGACGUAGACUUAGAGCUACAAUAAGAUGGAGCAUCGAAACCCGAUGGGCGGGAACGAGGAGAAAGAAGAGGACGUCGACUUUGAGGAACUCGGUUUUGACCCCCGUUUGACGCGAGCGAUGUCGAAGAAGGGCAUCGACAAAGUCACCCCCAUCUAGCGCGAACCCAUCCCUUGAUCCUGGAAUUCAAUGCAGGAUUAUUUGAUCAUUUAAUAGCAGCAGAUGACAGCCAGACAAAGGAGAAGGAGCCAAAGGAGAGGGAAAAUAAAAUGUCAUCAAAGAAAUCUAAAAAACAAGCAAGGCACAAAGUAGAUGGAGAGUUUGGAGGUGUCAGACGAAUUGACUUCAAGAAUGUAUUUACGGUAAUCAAUUUUGACAUGCCAGAAAACUCUGCUGGAUACAUUCACAGGAUUGGACGAACAGGAAGAGCAUUUAACACUGGUGUAUCUGUCUCCCUUGUAAUCAAUUUUGACAUGCCAGAAAACUCUGCUGGAUACAUUCACAGGAUUGGACGAACAGGAAGAGCAUUUAACACUGGUGUAUCUGUCUCCCUUCAGGUAUCCUUAGGAGAGGAUGCUGCCUUGAAAGCAGAUGAACUAUAUACAGUGGUUCAGACAUUUAAAAUAUUAGAGUGAUGCUGCCCUGAUAGCAAACGAACUCCGCAAUGUUCAAUCUCUCUCGUCUCUCUCAAUUGGUAUUUUCAACCUUUUAUGAUGGUCGGUUGUCUUCCAGGUUAAGUCUUUUGUCUUUGUCAUCAUUCAGGUUGAAGGCUCAUUUUGAACAUAAUCCGAAAGAUUUGGGUAAAGAUCAAAGAUUUAUAGUUCUUUGUAUUUUAAGUUUAUAUUAUUAGCAAUUUAUCUUCUGUAUUUUAUGAGUCGAUCUUUUAAAGCAUGACAAGUUGCUGAGCAAGAAGGCUCCUCCAUCUCAUCUACGUGAGGUUCCUGAAUAUCUUAUUGAUCGGACAACCAAGGAAGCUAGCGGCCUCCUAAAACUGUCCAUGGCUGCCAUGGGAAUAAAAACCUCAAAGAAGCGGCCCAGAUUGAAACGGGGAUUAGGUAUAAGCAGAGAUCCCCUCAAAACCUUCCCAGUUGAGGCCAAAAAAAUGCGCUUCUUUCCCAUAAAGAGGUUCCACAAAGGUAAGAAUAGGAAGACAAACGAGGAAGGAGCUUCAAAUCGCCGGAACAAGGCAAAACACGAAGCCGCCAAACCUUGGAAUCCAUCUUCGGCAAAACUUAUGGAGCUUAUUACCAUUUCCUUAUUCAAUUUUGUAAUAUUAAUGACAGCAGAGAAAUUUGAUAAUAUAUUUAUAGUAAAAGAUGGAAUACGAUCAUCUAUAAGAAGAUAAAU